rnacentral:rRNA from 1 species
UGGGGAAUAUUGGACAAUGGGCGCAAGCCUGAUCCAGCCAUGCCGCGUGUGUGAAGAAGGCCUUCGGGUUGUAAAGCACUUUCAGCGAGGAGGAAGGGAGUUGUGUUAAUAGCACAGCUUCUUGACGUUACUCGCAGAAGAAGCACCGGCUAACUCUGUGCCAGCAGCCGCGGUAAUACAGAGGCCCCAAGCGUUAUCCGGAAUCACUGGGCGUAAAGGGUGUCGAGGCGGUUGUAUUAGUCGUUCGUAAAAUCUACGAGCUUAACUUGUAGGCGGCGAACGAAACGGUACGACUUGAGGUUUGGAGAGGUGCGUGGAACUCACGGUGUAGGGGUGAAAUCCGUUGAUAUCGUGGGGAACACCAAAGGCGAAGGCAGCGCACUGGCCAAAAUCUGACGCUCACACACGAAAGCUAGGGUAGCGAAGAGGAUUAGAUACCCAAGUAGUCCCUGAGCGGGCUGGCAAGGCGCAU